UGGAUCCAGACUUUGAUCAUGGCUCAGGACGAACGCUGGCGGCGCGCCUAACACAUGCAAGUCGAACGAGAGAGAGGGAGCUUGCUUCCUCGAUCGAGUGGCGAACGGGUGAGUAACGCGUGAGGAACCUGCCUCAAAGAGGGGGACAACAGUUGGAAACGACUGCUAAUACCGCAUAAGCCCACGGCUCGGCAUCGAGCAGAGGGAAAAGGAGCAAUCCGCUUUGAGAUGGCCUCGCGUCCGAUUAGCUAGUUGGUGAGGUAAUGGCCCACCAAGGCGACGAUCGGUAGCCGGACUGAGAGGUUGAACGGCCACAUUGGGACUGAGACACGGCCCAGACUCCUGCGGGAGGCAGCAGUGGGGAAUAUUGCACAAUGGGGGAAACCCUGAUGCAGCGACGCCGCGUGGAGGAAGAAGGUCUUCGGAUUGUAAACUCCUGUUGUUGAGGAAGAUAAUGACGGUACUCAACAAGGAAGUGACGGCUAACUACGUGCCAGCAGCCGCGGUAAAACGUAGGUCACAAGCGUUGUCCGGAAUUACUGGGUGUAAAGGGAGCGCAGGCGGGCGAUCAAGUUGGAAGUGAAAUCCAUGGGCUCAACCCAUGAACUGCUUUCAAAACUGAUUGUCUUGAGUAGUGCAGAGGUAGGCGGAAUUCCCGGUGUAGCGGUGGAAUGCGUAGAUAUCGGGAGGAACACCAGUGGCGAAGGCGGCCUACUGGGCACCAACUGACGCUGAGGCUCGAAAGUGUGGGUAGCAAACAGGAUUAGAUACCCUGGUAGUCCACACCGUAAACGAUGAUUACUAGGUGUUGGAGGAUUGACCCCUUCAGUGCCGCAGUUAACACAAUAAGUAAUCCACCUGGGGAGUACGACCGCAAGGUUGCAACUCAAAGGAAUUGACGGA
rnacentral:rRNA from 1 species